GCGUAGUUCGGAAUUACUGGGCUUAAAGAGCUCGUAGGUGGUUAGAAAAGUUGGUGGUGAAAUCCCAAGGCUUAACCUUGGAACUGCCAUCAAAACUUUUUGACUAGAGUAUGAUAGAGGAAAGUGGAAUUUCUAGUGUAGAGGUGAAAUGCGUAGAUAUUCGGAGGAACACCAAUUGCGAAGGCAGCUCACUGGGCCGCUAUCGACGCUGAGGAGCGAAAGCUAGGGGAGCAAACAGGAUUAGAUACCCUGGUAGUCCUAGCUGUAAACGAUGGAUACUAGACGUAGGAACUGGAUUGACGGUUUCUGUGUCGUAGCUAACGCGUUAAGUAUCCCGCCUGGGGAGUACGGUCGCAAGACUAAAACUCAAAGGAAUUGACGGGACCCCGCACAAGCGGCGGAGCAUGCGGCUUAAUUCGAUGAUACCCGUAGAACCUUACCUGGACUUGACAUAUAGGGUCUAGCUAUAGAGAUAUAGUGUGCAUUAGCGCCCUAUACAGGUGGUGCAUGGCU
rnacentral:rRNA from 1 species